rnacentral:tRNA from 1 species
AUCAUCGUAGCGCAAAGGUUGGCAUAUCCGCUUUUGACGCUGAACGCCUGGGUUCGAAUCCUGGCGAGGACA